UGAGGAAUAUUGGACAAUGGGCGCAAGCCUGAUCCAGCCAUGCCGCGUGCAGGAAGAAGCAUCUAUGGUGUGUAAACUGCUUUUGUACGGGAAGAAACACUCCUUCGUGAAGGAGCUUGGCGGUACCGUAAGAAUAAGGAUCGGCUAACUCCGUGCCAGCAGCCGCGGUAAUACGGAGGAUCCAAGCGUUAUCCGGAAUCAUUGGGUUUAAAGGAUCCGUAGGCGGUUUAGUAAGUCAGUGGUGAAAGCCCAUCGCUCAACGAUGGAACGGCCAUUGAUACUGCUAGACUUGAAUUACAAGGAAGUAACUAGAAUAUGUAGUGUAGCGGUGAAAUGCUUAGAUAUUACAUGGAAUACCAAUUGCGAAGGCAGGUUACUACUUGUGGAUUGACGCUGAUGGACGAAAGCGUGGGGAGCGAACA
rnacentral:rRNA from 1 species